AUAGUACUCCCUUCGUCCGGAAAUACUUGUCAUCAAAAUGGAUAAAAAGGGAUGUAUCUAGAACUAAAAUAUGUCUAGAUACAUUCCCUUUUAUUCAUUUUGAUGACAAGUAUUUCUGGACGGAGGGAGUAUAUG
rnacentral:pre_miRNA from 1 species